CAGUAAACGAUGAUUACUAGGAGUUUGCGAUAUAGUGUAAGCUCUACAACGAAAGCGUUAAGUAAUCCACCUGGGGAGUACGCCGGCAACGGUGAAACUCAAAGGAAUUGACGGGGGCCCGCACAAGCGGAGGAACAUGUGGUUUAAUUCGAUGAUACGCGAGGAACCUUACCCGGGAUUGAAAUGUACCUGACGAACUGCGAGAGUGGUUUUCCAGCAAUGGCAGGUAUGUAGGUGCUGCAUGGUUGUCGUCAGCUCGUGCCGUGAGGUGUCGGCUUAAGUGCCAUAACGAGCGCAACCCUGACUGUCAGUUGCCAACAGGUCAAGCUGAGGACUCUGGCGGGACUGCCGGCGUAAGCUGUGAGGAAGGUUGGGAUGACGUCAAAUCAGCACGGCCCUUACAUCCGGGGCGACACACGUGUUACAAUGGCAGGGACAAAGGGCAGCUACCGAGCGACCGGAUGCAAAUCUCUAAACCCUGUCUCAGUUCGGAUCGGAGUCUGCAACUCGACUCCGUGAAGCUGGAUUCGCUAGUAAUCGCGCAUCAGCCAUGGCGCGGUGAAUACGUUCCCGGGCCUUGUACACACCGCCCGUCAAGCCAUGGGAGCCGGGGGUGCCUAAAGUCCGUAACCGUGAGGAUCGGCCUAGGUAAGCGGUGGGAA
rnacentral:rRNA from 1 species